UACGUAGGGGGCAAGCGUUGUCCGGAUUUAUUGGGCGUAAAGAGCGCGCAGGCGGUCGUUCAAGUCGCGUGUGAAAGCCCCCGGCUCAACUGGGGAGGGUCACGCGAUACUGAUCGACUGGAAGGCAGGAGAGGGUAGUGGAAUUCCCGGUGUAGUGGUGAAAUGCGUAGAUAUCGGGAGGAACACCAGUGGCGAAGGCGACUACCUGGCCUGUUCUUGACGCUGAGGCGCGAAAGCUAGGGGAGCAAACGGG
rnacentral:rRNA from 1 species